ensembl:lncRNA
CGCUGAGCAGCGGGGAGGCUGGGUGUUGACUUUCUCCCGGGAAACGGACGCGGGGCGCAGCGGCGGACCUUCGGCCGGAGCCGCGCCCACCGCCUCCACUUGGCCCGCGCGCCCCGCCCGGCCUCGGAGCACCGGCGAGUGUGCCCGUGAGGACUGGACGUGGGCCCUUCGUGGGCACGGGCGUGAUGUCGGCCCAAGAACUUGUGGCCUGCCUCUGCCGGGAGGGAGACCGGCACCUGGCCCUGGGAGAGCCCCCGCUGGCCACCGCCUUCUACCUGGCUGCCUUCAGCUGCCACGCCCCCUCGGCCGUGCGGCAUGUCCGUGCUGCGCUGGCCGAGGCGCGGGGGGCACCCGUGGUGGCCACGCUGGAAGCCUGGUGCCGGGGCGACGGCCAGAUCCCGCCCAUCCACUGGGACGGCAUGGCGGUCGUCUCCCUCACGGGGACGCUGGCCUCCACUUUCCUGGCCACCCUGUGCCCAGACCACCCGGCCGCGGUCCUGCACUCCCUGGCCGGGCUGCUGGCACGCGGGCACCACGAGGAAGCGGUUCGGCGCUGCAGCGCCCUGCUGGGUGAGCACGGGCAGCAAGCCCUGGAGCUGCGGCUGACCCGCGCCCUGGCCCGCGUCCUGUCCGGGCGGCGGGUGGACGCCGGCGUGGCCGACUAUCUGCGGGCCUUUGCCUCGAGCGCAGACCGGACCGUGGCCUUUGUGCGGACCCACCAGCAGCCCUACCUGCCCGUGCUGAUCAGUGCCCUCCAGGACCACGUGUCAGGGCGCUGGGAUGCGGAGGAUGGUACCAGCCGGCAGGAGACCAACUGCCAGGGACUCCUGGCAGCCCUGGACCCUGGGGGCACCUGGAGCCACGCGCUGUCCCCGGACGCCCUGCUCCGCGGCGGCAGGUAUGAGGACUGCCGGGCGGCGUGCAGCUGGGCCUUGGAGUCUGACCCGGCUGGCAGCGGGCCUCAAGGCGAGCGUCUGGCCGCGCUGCUGGUCACCCGCGCGGCCGCGGCCUUCUUCCUGGACGGUGGGGCCAGGGACCUGCUUCGGGACCUGCACGAGGCCUUCCGCCAGAGCCCCUCGGGCGCGCGGAGGCAGUUCAAGGCGGUGCUCUCCGCUGGGGACCGAGAGCGCAUACGGGCCCAGGCGCAGGAGGCGGCGGACACGGGCUUCGCCCGCUUCCAGGAGGCCGUGCGGAGCCGCGCUGAGCUGCGCGAAAACUCGGGCCGCGAGCUGUUGGCCCCGGUGACCCGCGCGCUCCGUGUCCUGCUGCGCAUUGCGCCGCCUGGAGCCCGCCCGGCGCUGGGCGCUCGCCUGGCUGAGUGCCUCCUGCUGGC